rnacentral:rRNA from 1 species
AGUGAACGCUGGCGGUAGGCCUAACACAUGCAAGUCGAACGGCAGCACAGUAAGAGCUUGCUCUUACGGGUGGCGAGUGGCGGACGGGUGAGGAAUACAUCGGAAUCUACUUUUUCGUGGGGGAUAACGUAGGGAAACUUACGCUAAUACCGCAUACGACCUACGGGUGAAAGCAGGGGAUCUUCGGACCUUGCGCGAUUGAAUGAGCCGAUGUCGGAUUAGCUAGUUGGCGGGGUAAAGGCCCACCAAGGCGACGAUCCGUAGCUGGUCUGAGAGGGUGAUCAGCCACACUGGAACUGAGACACGGUCCAGACUCCUACGGGAGGCAGCAGUGGGGAAUAUUGGACAAUGGGCGCAAGCCUGAUCCAGCCAUACCGCGUGGGUGAAGAAGGCCUUCGGGUUGUAAAGCCCUUUUGUUGGGAAAGAAAAGCAGCAGGUUAAUACCCCGCCGUUCUGACGGUACCCAAAGAAUAAGCACCGGCUAACUUCGUG